rnacentral:rRNA from 1 species
GACGAACGCUGGCGGCGUGCUUAACACAUGCAAGUCGAACGGAAAGGCCCCUUUGGGGGUCCUCGAGUGGCGAACGGGUGAGUAACACGUGAGUAACCUGCCCUUGACUUCGGGAUAACUUCAGGAAACUGGGGCUAAUACCGGAUAGGAAUCCUUGCUGCAUGGUGGGGGUUGGAAAGCUUCGGCGGUUUUGGAUGGACUCGCGGCUUAUCAGCUUGUUGGUGGGGUAGUGGCUUACCAAGGCUUUGACGGGUAGCCGGCCUGAGAGGGCGACCGGCCACAUUGGGACUGAGAUACGGCCCAGACUCCGACGGGUGGCAGCAGUGGGGAAGAUUGCACAAUGGGCGGAAGCCUGAUGCAGCAACGCCGCGUGCGGGAUGACGGCCUUCGGGUUGUAAACCGCUUUCAGCAGGGGCGAAGCUUGUGGUGACGGUACCUGCAGAAGAAGCACCGGCUAACUACGUG